rnacentral:rRNA from 1 species
GGGUCAGUAGGUUGGUCGUGCCACCGGUACGUACUGGUCUCACUGAUUCCUCCUUCCUGAAGAACCGUAAUGCCGUUAAUCUGGUGUUGCGGGGAAACAGGACUGUUACUUUGAAAAAAUUAGAGUGUUUAAAGCAAGCUAACGCUUGAAUACAUUAGCAUGGAAUAAUGAAAUAGGACGAUCGAUCCUAUUUUGUUGGUUUCUAGGAUUGACGUA